UGACCAAAACUUUUAAUAGGAAACCACAACAAGUCCAACCCAUAGUUAUAUUCACAACUCCACAUGUUGAACCCACCCUGUCGGGAGCUCUUCAACAAGGGGCUCCUGCCUGGUCGUACAGCGGAGGGGAAGGGUGGGCGGGGGUGUUCUUGGCAGGUUCUGUCUGUCCCAUUCUGCGUCUCAUCCAUCCAUUGGUAGGACUGGCAGACGAGCAGAUUCUAUAGCCGUUAACUCUUGACACCAGUGUUUCAGAGCUGAUAGGGGGUUUGUUCCGGUUCCCACCCUGUCAGGAGCUCUUCAACAGGCUAGGGAGGCUCCUGCCUGGUCCUGGUCGUACAGCGGAGGGGAAGGGUGGGCGGGGGGGUGGGGGGUUUGUUCCGGUUCCCACGGACCAACCAACCCGGUGCUGAGUCAGGAAGUCCAAGACUGAAGGAAGGGAGCACUGGUCCUUUUCCAACAUCUCCAGUUCAUCCAUUGGCCAUGAGAGGGCCGUGGUCUUCACUGGAGCGAUUUGGAGAAGGGGCUUGACAGUACAUCGUGUCAGGGUGGGUUAUCAAAUGUUAUGGGAUGGUAGGUGGUAUAGGGGAGAUGUUGAGGAUGGUAGGUGGUAUAGGGGAGAUGUUGAGGAUGGUAGGUGGUAUAGGGGAGAUGUUGAGGAUGGUAGGUGGUAUAGGGGAGAUGUUGAGGAUGGUAUAGAGAGAUGUUGAGGAUGGUAGGUGGUAUAGGGGAGAUGUUGAGGAUGGUAGGUGGUAUAGGGGAGAUGUUGAGGAUGGUAGGUGGUAUAGGGGAGAUGUUGAGGAUGGUAGGUGGUAUAGGGGAGAUGUUGAGGAUGGUAGGUGGUAUAGGGGAGACGUUGAGGAUGGUAGGUGGUAUAGGGAGAUGUUGAGGAUGGUAGGUGGUAUAGGGGAGAUGUUGAGGAUGGUAGGUGGUAUAGGGGAGACGUUGAGGAUGGUAGGUGGUAUAGGGGAGAUGUUGAGGAUGGUAGGUGGUAUAGGGGAGAUGUUGAGGAUGGUAGGUGGUAUAGGGGAGAUGUUGAGGGUGGUAGGUGGUAUAGGGGAGACGUUGAGGAUGGUAGGUGGUAUAGGGGAGACGUUGAGGAUGGUAGGUGGUAUAGGGAGAUGUUGAGGAUGGUAGGUGGUAUAGG